rnacentral:rRNA from 1 species
UACGUAGGGUGCAAGCGUUGUCCGGAAUUAUUGGGCGUAAAGAGCUCGUAGGCGGUUCGUCGCGUCGGCUGUGAAAUCCCGAGGCUCAACCUCGGGUCUGCAGUCGAUACGGGCGGACUGGAGUUCGGCAGGGGAGACUGGAAUUCCUGGUGUAGCGGUGAAAUGCGCAGAUAUCAGGAGGAACACCGGUGGCGAAGGCGGGGUCUCUGGGCCGAUACUGACGCUGAGGAGCGAAAAGCGUGGGGGAGCGAACAGG